AGAGUUUGAUCCUGGCUCAGGACGAACGCUGGCGGCGUGCUUAACACAUGCAAGUCAGGGAGAAAAGGGUAGCAAUAUCCUGAGUACACCGGCGCACGGGUGAGUAACACGUAGGCAAUCUACCAUUAGGACGGGGACAACCUCGAGAAAUCGAGGCUAAUACCCGAUAAUGCAGCGGCACCGCAUGGUGAUGUUGUUAAAGGCCCGCAAGGGCGCCUAUUGAUGAGCCUGCGUCCCAUUAGGUAGUUGGCGGGGUAACGGCCCACCAAGCCGACGAUGGGUAGCUGGUCUGAGAGGAUGAUCAGCCACACUGGAACUGAGACACGGUCCAGACUCCUACGGGAGGCAGCAGUGAGGAAUAUUGCGCAAUGGCCGAAAGGCUGACGCAGCGACGCCGCGUGAGGGAUGAAGUCCGUUAGGAUGUAAACCUCUUUUGCGAGGGAUGAAUGUUCCGCCUUGUGCGGACUUGACCGUACCUUGCGAAUAAGGGUCGGCUAACUACGUGCCAGCAGCCGCGGUAAUACGUAGGACCCGAGCGUUGUCCGGAAUUACUGGGUGUAAAGGGCGUGUAGGUGGACCUCUCAGUCGGUGGUGAAAUCCUGCGGCUCAACCGCAGAACUGCCGCCGAUACUGGAGGUCUUGAGUACGGCAGAGGGAGAUGGAAUUCAUGGUGUAGCGGUGAAAUGUGUAGAUAUCAUGAAGAACACCGGUUGCGAAGGCGGUCUCCUGGUCCGUUACUGACACUGAGGCGCGAAAGCGUGGGGGAGCAAACAGGAUUAGAUACCCUGGUAGUCCACGCC
rnacentral:rRNA from 1 species